GGGCCAGUAGGUUGGUCGUGCCACCGGUACGUACUGGUCUCACUGAUUCCUCCUUCCUGAAGAACCGUAAUGCCAUUAAUUUGGUGUUGCGGGGAAACAGGACUGUUACUUUGAAAAAAUUAGAGUUUUUAAAGCAAGCUAACGCUUGAAUACAUUAGCAUGGAAUAAUGAAAUAGGACGAUCGAUCCUAUUUUGUUGGUUUCUAGGAUUGACGUA
rnacentral:rRNA from 1 species